rnacentral:rRNA from 1 species
UACAGAGGGGGCGAGCGUUAUUCGGAAUUAUUGGGCGUAAAGGGCGCGUAGGCGGCCUUUCAAGUGACGGGUGAAAUCCCUCGGCUUAACCGAGGAACUGCCUGUCAGACUGGAAGGCUUGAGACCGGGAGAGGUGAGUGGAAUUCCCCAGUGUAGCGGUGAAAUGCGUAGAUAUUGGGAGGAACACCAGUGGCGAAGGCGGCUCACUGGACCGGAACUGACGCUGAGGCGCGAAAGCGUGGGGAGCAAACAGG